AUUGGACGCUGGCGGCAUGCCUUACACAUGCAAGUCGAACGGUAACAGGUCUUCGGAUGCUGACGAGUGGCGAACGGGUGAGUAAUACAUCGGAACGUGCCCGAUCGUGGGGGAUAACGCAGCGAAAGCUGUGCUAAUACCGCAUACGAUCUACGGAUGAAAGCGGGGGAUCGCAAGACCUCGCGCGGACGGAGCGGCCGAUGGCAGAUUAGGUAGUUGGUGGGAUAAAAGCUUACCAAGCCGACGAUCUGUAGCUGGUCUGAGAGGACGACCAGCCACACUGGGACUGAGACACGGCCCAGACUCCUACGGGAGGCAGCAGUGGGGAAUUUUGGACAAUGGGCGCAAGCCUGAUCCAGCCAUGCCGCGUGCAGGAUGAAGGCCUUCGGGUUGUAAACUGCUUUUGUACGGAACGAAAAAGCUCUCUCUAAUACAGGGGGUGAAUGACGGUACCGUAAGAAUAAGCACCGGCUAACUACGUG
rnacentral:rRNA from 1 species